rnacentral:rRNA from 1 species
AUUGAACGCUGGCGGCAGGCCUAACACAUGCAAGUCGAACGAGUGGCGGACGGGUGAGUAAUGUCUGGGAAACUGCCCGAUGGAGGGGGAUAACUACUGGAAACGGUAGCUAAUACCGCUUACUAUCAGAUGUGCCCAGAUGGGAUUAGCUAGUUGGUGGGGUAACGGCUCACCAAGGCGACGAUCCCUAGCUGGUCUGAGAGGAUGACCAGCCACACUGGAACUGAGACACGGUCCAGACUCCUACGGGAGGCAGCAGUGGGGAAUAUUCGACAAUGGACGAAAGUCUGACGGAGCCACGCCGCGUGUAUGAAGAAGGCCUUCGGGUCGUAAAGCACUUUCAGCGGAGAGGCGUUACCCAAAGAAGAAGCACCGGCUAACUCCGUGCCAGCAGCCGCGGUAAUAC